CUGCUGCCUUCCGUAGGAGUUUGGACCGUGUCUCAGUUCCAAUGUGGGGGACCUUCCUCUCAGAACCCCUAUCCAUCGUCGUCUUGGUGGGCCGUUACCCCGCCAACUAACUAAUGGAACGCAUCCCCAUCGAUAACCGAAAUUCUUUAAUAUCAACGAUCAUGCGAUCUUGAUAUCCUAUCGGAUAUUAAUCUUUCUUUCGAAAGGCUAUCCCCGAGUUAUCGGCAGGUUGGAUACGUGUUACUCACCCGUGCGCCGGUCGCCAUCGG
rnacentral:rRNA from 1 species